CCUGGUGUGCUGCGGUUCAUGGGGUCACAAAGAGUCAGACAGGACUGAGUGACUGAACUGAACUGAACUGAGGAAACUUCAGGAGAUGGUGAAGGACAGGGAAGCCUGGCGUGCUGCAGAGGUUGCAGGGUUGGAUACAACUGAGCGACUGAACAACAACAUACCAUAGGCAAUACUAUAUGGUACUAUUAAUUUCUUUUGAGUUUUUAUGUCUACUGCAUGCAACAAUUCUAAUCGUAUUAACUCUAUUUAGAAUAUGAACAUCUGGGUUUAAGUCCAGGAUGCCCCAUUCAAGUAGCCUGCUUCUUCAAGCCUUGGCCUUCAUGUUUCUAGGACUGAGAUCCUGCUACUUGCAGCAUGGGACUGCUACCAGGACUAAAUGAGUGCUUUGUUUACUGUAGAGUUACAGGUCUCUCCAGAAAGUAUCUUCCAGUAUGUGCCUAGAAGAUACCGUCCUAGCUACCCGUGGUCUGGGAGCCAAGCCAGUGAGGAGUGGGGCGGAUCUCAGCCCUCAGUCCCCUGUGAGAAUCUCUAGCAUCGUCCUGUCUUCAGGCCGGUGCCCCAUCCCCACGGCUGCUGCUGUGCCUUUAUCCAGAGACUUGUGUUUUCAGCCGUUUAGUCUUGUUGGGGGCUUGGGGCCGUGCAGUGGUCUGGCUGUGUGAACAUGGGGAAGGGUUGGGGUUAGAGACACUCUCUAGUGACUAUCACCCAGUCCUUCUGUUUUCAGUCCCGUCUGCACCCACACUUCUGGAAACAGCUGGUACCACCAAGUACAGGCCACAGAGCCUGUGGGAGUCCUCAGCGCAGGCCGAGCUGCUCCUUGCCUUUCCUCACCCUGGGCCUCAGAUUCAGCGUGUCAUCUACGAGUCAGCGGUUACUCAUCCUUCAGUGUUCAAGCCCCGCCACGUUUUGUCGUCUCUGUGUGGUCUUGUGCGGUACAGGGUCCUUUUGCCGUCAUUUAGACGGGUUUCCAGGAGGAGCUGGAGGAAGUGCCUGUGUGUAGUCUGCACGUGGGGACUGACUGACUCGUGGGCUGGGAAGGAAAAGGUAGCACAUGGGUCGGUGGACGGGUUGAGCAGGAGGCAGAUGGCAUGCUGGCCGAGGGUGAAGGGCCUGGCAGACCUGGAGGGGCAGAGACUAGGCGGGGGAGCUGAACCUCGUGGCGCAGCCUUAGAACUUAGGAGAGCUCCAUUCAAGGUACUGCCUCGGCAGAGUCCAAAGGUGUUGCUGAAUCAGGAUCAGAAAGCGGCUUCAAGCCGUAUCCAAGAGAGUGCAUCAAGGACCUUAGAAAUAGCUGUAAUCUUAUUCAAUUAACUUCAUUUGUAGAAUUCUUCCUGAGAAGAGAAAGUAUAGAAUAUACAUAUAAUACAUAUACUUUCCUAAUAAAAGUUACUAUAUAUACAUAGUAUUACUGUAUAUACGGUAUAUAUAAUAUACAGGCUAUUAUAUAUAGGCUUAUUUCACUUAGUAUAAUGUCCUCAAGCUUCAUCCAUGUUGUAGCAUGUGACAGAACUUCCUUCCUACUUAAGGAAAUAAAAUAAAAUUCCAUUUUAUGUAUAUACCACACUUUGUUCAUCUAUCUAUUGUUAUUCUGGUUCAGUCACUAAGUCAUGUCCGACUCUUUGUGACCUCAUAGACUGCAGCCUGGGUGUAGACUGUUUCUAAAAUUUAUAAUCUCUAAUAUUAUAAAAAUGCUGCUAAUGAAUGUCUUUGUGGAAAAAGUCUCUAUAUAUUAUUUAUAUAAUAUAUAUACUUCCUCUUGCUUUUGCAGAUGCCGUUGUGCCGAAGCACAGCCGCCCCCAAGGACAUAUUGUUUGCGUCUUUUUCCUGCGGUAACAGCAGAGUCUAUCGCCAACAAAGCCUAAAAUAUCUACUAUCUGGUCCUUUAAGAAACAGUUUGCUGACUUCUGAUCUGAAUGACUAGUAGAAGAAUGGUUAAGCCAGUUAAGGGGCAUCACCCCAGUUUACCAGCUAUUUUUUAACUGGUAAAGAAAAAAACCCCAAAUGUACUAUGUUAACCAUUUUUAAGUGUACAGUUCAAUAGUGUUACCCAUACUCACAUUGUUGUGAAAUAGAGCUUCAUCUUGCAAAACCGAAACUCUCUACCCAUUAAAUAUCAUUGCCCUUUCCCCAGCCUUGUAUCCUGCUCUCUGUUGCUAUGAAUUUGAAUACUUUAGAUACCUCAGAUGAGUGGAACCAUACAAGUUUUAUCUCUUUGUGCCUGCCUUAUCUCACUUAGCGUAAUGCCCUCAAGCUUCAUCCAUGUUGUAGCAUGCGACAGAACUUCCUUCCCACUUAAGGAAGGAAAUAAAAUUAGAAUUCCG
ensembl:lncRNA